GAUGAACGCUGGCGGCGUGCUUAACACAUGCAAGUCGAACGAUGAAGCCCAGCUUGCUGGGUGGAUUAGUGGCGAACGGGUGAGUAACACGUGAGUAACCUGCCCUUAACUCUGGGAUAAGCCUGGGAAACUGGGUCUAAUACCGGAUAGGAGCGUCCACCGCAUGGUGGGUGUUGGAAAGAUUUAUCGGUUUUGGAUGGACUCGCGGCCUAUCAGCUUGUUGGUGAGGUAAUGGCUCACCAAGGCGAAGACGGGUAGCCGGCCUGAGAGGGUGACCGGCCAAACUGGGACCGGGGACACGGCCCGGAUUCUUCCGGGGGCAGGCGGGGGGGAUAAUUGAACAAGGGCGGCAGGCCGAUGGCGCGAACGCGGGUGGGGGGAUACGGCCCUCGGGUUGUAAACCUCUUUCAGUAGGGAAGAAGCGAAAGUGACGGUACCUGCAGAAGAAGCACCGGCUAACUACGUG
rnacentral:rRNA from 1 species